GAGCGGGCAUAGCAAUAUGUCAGCGGCAGACGGGUGAGUAACGCGUGGGAACGUACCUUUUGGUUCGGAACAACUGAGGGAAACUUCAGCUAAUACCGGAUAAGCCCUUACGGGGAAAGAUUUAUCGCCGAAAGAUCGGCCCGCGUCUGAUUAGCUAGUUGGUGAGGUAAUGGCUCACCAAGGCGACGAUCAGUAGCUGGUCUGAGAGGAUGAUCAGCCACAUUGGGACUGAGACACGGCCCAAACUCCUACGGGAGGCAGCAGUGGGGAAUAUUGGACAAUGGGCGCAAGCCUGAUCCAGCCAUGCCGCGUGAGUGAUGAAGGCCCUAGGGUUGUAAAGCUCUUUUGUGCGGGAAGAUAAUGACGGUACCGCAAGAAUAAGCCCCGGCUAACUUCGUGCCAGCAGCCGCGGUAAUACGAAGGGGGCUAGCGUUGCUCGGAAUCACUGGGCGUAAAGGGUGCGUAGGCGGGUCUUUAAGUCAGGGGUGAAAUCCUGGAGCUCAACU
rnacentral:rRNA from 1 species